UACAGAGGGUGCAAGCGUUGCUCGGAAUCAUUGGGCGUAAAGGGUAGGUAGGUGGUCUCAUUUGUCUGGGGUGAAAGCCCAGGGCUUAACCCUGGAAGUGCCCCGGAAACGGUGAGACUGGAGUAUUGGAGAGGGUCGUGGAAUUCCCGGUGUAGCGGUGAAAUGCGUAGAGAUCGGGAGGAACACCAGUGGCGAAGGCGACUACCUGGCCCAUUCUUGACGCUGAGGCGCGAAAGCUAGGGGAGCGAACGGG
rnacentral:rRNA from 1 species